AAUAUGUGUAUCUCUGUGUCUCUGCAUGUGUGUGUUAAUGUGUUUAUAUGUAUGUCAGGUUGUGUAUCCUUAAGUGUGUCAUUGUAUGUAUCUAUGUGUCUGUGUAUCUGCAUGUGUAUGUGUGUCAGUGUGUGUAACUCUGUGUAUCUGUGUGUCAGGAUAAGUAUCUGUGUGUGAGGAUUUGUGUCAGGGUAUGUAUCCUUAAGUGUGUA